GACGAACGCUGGCGGCGUGCUUAACACAUGCAAGUCGAACGGAAAGGCCCUGCUUUUGUUGGGUGCUCGAUUGGCGAACGGGUGAGUAACACGUGAGUAACCUGCCCUUGACUUUGGGAUAACUUCAGGAAACUGGGGCUAAUACCCGAUAGGAGCUCCUGCUACAUGGUGGGGGUUGGAAAGUUUCGGCGGUUGGGGAUGGACUCGCGGCUUAUCAGCUUGUUGGUGGGGUAGUGGCUUACCAAGGCUUUGACGGGUAGCCGGCCUGAGAGGGUGACCGGCCACAAUGGGACUGAGAUACGGCCCAGACUCCUACGGGAGGCAGCAGUGGGGAAUAUUGCACAAUGGGCGGAAGCCUGAUGCAGAAACGCCGCGUGCGGGAUGACGGCCUUCGGGUUGUAACCCGCUUUCGCCUGUGACGAAGCGUGAGUGACGGUAAUGGGUAAAGAAGCACCGGCUAACUACGUG
rnacentral:rRNA from 1 species